GCCGCGACCCCGGCCCGGCGCCGGCCCCGCCCCGCCCCGCGCCCAGGGGUCCCGGGGCGGGCUCCGGGCUUGGGGCGGACGAUGCGGCGGCGCGGCCGGAGCGGCGGCGGGAAGCGGAGGCGGAGGUGACGCGCCGGGCCGGCGGGCCGGGCCAUGCAGCGCUCCCGGGCGGCCGCGGACGAGGCGGCCCUGCUCCUGGCCGGGCUGGCCCUGCGGGAGCUGGAGGCGGGCGGCGACUCUCCAGGCCGGGGUCGGCGGGGGCCGCGGCCCGGGCCGGGAGACGAGGCGGCGCAGGCGCUGGGCCGCAGAGGGAAGGGCGGCGGCGGCGGCGGCGGCCCCGAGGCCGGGCCGGACGGACUGAGCCGUGGGGAGCGAGGCCCGCGGCGCGCGGCGGCCCCCGAGCUCAGCGCGCAGCCUGCGGGCAGCCCGCGGGCCAGCCUGGCGGGCUCCGACGGCGGCGGCGGCAGCGCCCGCUCCAGCGGCAUCAGCCUGGGCUACGACCAGCGCCACGGCAGCCCGCGCUCCGGCCGCUCGGACCCGCGCCCCGGCCCCGGGCCGCCGUCGGUGGGCAGCGCCCGCUCCAGCGUGUCCAGUCUCGGCUCCCGCGGCUCGGCCGGCGCCUACGCCGACCUGCUCCCGCCCGGCGCCGGCCCCGCGCCGACUCGCUCCCCGGAGCCUGCGGGGCCGACCCCCUUCCCUCUGCCUUCGCUGCAGCUGCCCGCGGGCCGAGAGGGCGGCCCGAGCGCGGCGGAGCGGCGGCUGGAGGCGCUGACCCGCGAGCUGGAGCGGGCGCUGGAGGCGCGCACGGCGCGGGACUACUUCGGCAUCUGCAUCCAGUGUGGGCUUGGCAUCUACGGAGCAAGGCAGGCGUGCCAGGCCAUGGGGAGCCUUUACCACACAGAUUGCUUCACCUGCGACUCCUGUGGCAGACGACUUCGAGGGAAGGCGUUCUACAACGUGGGUGAGAAAGUCUACUGCCAGGAGGACUUCCUGUACUCCGGGUUCCAGCAAACAGCUGACAAGUGUAGCGUGUGUGGACACCUCAUCAUGGAGAUGAUCCUGCAGGCCCUUGGGAAGUCCUACCACCCAGGCUGUUUCCGGUGCUCAGUGUGCAACGAGUGCCUGGACGGGGUGCCCUUCACCGUGGACGUGGAGAACAACAUCUACUGCGUCAGAGACUAUCACACGGUUUUUGCACCAAAAUGUGCCUCCUGUGCCCGUCCUAUCCUCCCUGCACAGGGCUGUGAGACCACCAUCCGUGUGGUGUCCAUGGACAGAGACUACCACGUGGAGUGUUACCACUGUGAGGACUGCGGGCUGCAGCUGAGCGGGGAGGACGGACGCCGCUGCUACCCCCUGGAGGGCCACCUGCUGUGCCGCCGCUGCCACCUGCGGCGCCUCCGGCCCGGCCCCCUUCCCUCACCUGCCGUGCACGUCACGGAGCUCUGAGCGCCGGAGGGGAGCCCCGCUGGGGCCGCGCGUGCGCGCGCGUGCGUGCGCGUGCGCGCGCGUGCGUGCGCGUGCGAGAGAGCGCGCCCGGGCGGGAUGGGUGACCAGACUUCGGAAUAAUGUGGGGUUUUGUGUCCGUGUCUGAAGAGCAGUGACCUAAUGAAAUGUGGUUUGGGAAACGCAGAUUAAUUUUCUUUCCUGUUGUCCCACAUCAGUGCACAUCAGCAUUGGGAAGCUGGGACGUCUCAGCGAUGGCUUAUGUUGGAUUUGUACCCGUGGGUGGCCCCUGCGGCAAGAGACCCCUAAUCAUGAUAACCCAUCAGUGGGAUAUUUUGACUUAAGUCCAUUUGCGCCUGAGUCACCAGUGAGCUGCUCCUGGCCACUGCUCUUGCCCUCCCCUGUUAGAUGUGGUCUCUUUGCUUGUAGGAUCACAGCUGGGGAGGCAAGGCUGUAGGAAUCAGAACAGAACGUUGCCUCCGAUUGCCUUUUGGGAUUCAUCGGAGAGGAAGUGGCAGCCAUUGGGGGCCAGCUGGGCUGAGGCCUGGAGCUGGGGGGCUCCCCUGGUGGACUGAGGGGAGCAAGUACACGGGUAGUUUUGUGUUCACCAAGUAUCUAUUUAAAUGCAGAGGUUGUCCUGGGAUGGGGGAAGUGUGUGUUUUCUUCCUUUCUUUUCUUUUUUUUUUUUUUUUUUAAGAUUUUACUUAUUUGACACAGAGAGAGAGACAGCAAGAGAGGGAACACAAGCAGGGAGAGUGGGAAAGGGAGAAGCAGGCUUCCUGCCAAGCAGAGAGCCCGAUGCGGGGCUCGAUCCCAGGAUCCUGAGAUCAUGACCUGAGCCGAAGGCAGUCACUUAACCAACUGAGCCACCCAGGCACCCCAAGUGUGUGUUUUCUGAGAAGGGGACUUCGAUAAGAUCAGGUGGCUUCUCGGAGGCGGUGAUCGCAACGGGGCAAGAGAGAGUACAUUUCAGGAACGGGAGGCUGUUUCUGGCUUUCUCUUACUCCUAAGCUGGGUGGUUUUACUUUCUAGCCAGUUACUGCAAAGCUUUCUUCUGGAUGUCAUCUCUUUUUGCUUCUGACAUCAAAGCUGCUUUGCCCUUGGUUUCUCCUUGCUGCAAACUCAGCCCUUCUCUUUUCUCUGCCUUCGUGUGUGCUGUGGAGGUCACCACCCACACCUGCUCCAGCCUGGUUACUGCGCCUCCCUAAUCCAGCCGGGGGGAGUCAUCACGUUGUGGAGCCCACUCCGAGUUCUUGGGCGAUGCUUUGUUGAAAGUCAGGGGCAAGUGAAUGCGUGGCCCUGGGGGGCAGUGGCCUCGUCUCGGGCCACACUUGGCUCUUUUUCUCUGGGCUCCAGGGCUCUGUGUCGCAUCAGUCAGGUCUGGUGACCGCCACUGCCCCUCUUACCGCAGAGGCUUUGCACACGCUGUUGGCUCUGCCUGGAUCCGCUUUCCUUCCUGGUUAAAUCGUUGCGCUCUCAGCCACAGGAAUACAUCAGGCUUCCAGGUAUCACACGGCACCAAAAACCCGGAAUCUGGGGACCCUGCUCUCCAAGCUCAUUUUCCUAAAGCAGCAUCUUCCAGUCCGUUUUCAGGAGUUAUGCUGACCUGAUGGUUGUUGAGGCUGAGGGAGCGGUGUGAGAGCCAGACUCUGAGCCAGGUAGAUUGCCUGUGACCCUCCAGCCCUGGGUGCCAAAGCCACCUGCCCUCAGGAUAUCUUCCUGGAUGUUGGCACCUGGUGGCACUAACUGCCUUUGAUCACUGCUGUCCUUUGAUGUGUCAUACUGAUGUCUGUCUCCUCACUCGACGGUGUGCACUCCGGGCCGGGGCCUGUCUGGGCCGUUCACGCUUGUCUCCACGCUGCCCUGGCCUUUGGGGUCUCAACUCAGGACCCCACUACCGCAUUGGUUUGCAAGUCUGAGUGCAGCCUUAGUUGCCCGAUGGAGGAGCCAGAGGUGGGAUGUAAAGUCCCAAGAAUAGGGGUUUACACAGACACAUCGGGUGUGUGCAGGUGUGUCCCACGCGGUACACUCCCAGGGGUGCCUCUGUGCUGGGGUGCCUGCCUAGAUGCACAGACCUUUGAGUGCCGGGUCCCUGCUGUGAGUGUGUGUGUGUGUGUGUGUGUGUGAGAGAGAGAGAGAGAGAGAGAAUCCCUGAGAUACUGAGGAAGAUUGUGUGUGAGCGAGUGCAUGUUUGAGAGAGAGCAUGAGAGAUUGAUCAGGAGAGAUGGUGAGAGAGAGAGACAUUGUAUGACAGAUUGAGUGAGAGAAUGGUGGGGAGCGAGAUUGAGAAGGAUAUUGAGAGACAAUGAGCAAGAGGGGGAGAGAGAAAGGGAGGGCAGUUGAAUUAAUUGAAUGAGGCCAAGAGAACCUGGUGUCUUUUCCCCACCUGUUCCUACAAAGUGGGGUGCCCCCAGAGCCAGGUGAUUUGGAGGGCUCUCAGCCUCAGAGACCCUGUGGAGGCCAGCCCACAAACAGAAAAGGCCCAAAUCCUGUAUUUGACUAUAGGCUCCCGGGGGGGGUGGGGUGGGUGUGUGUCUGCGAUGGUGGGCUCUUGGAGGGUUCUGGGGGUGGGUCAUGGGCUUGGGGUGCCUUCAUGGUCCUGAGGGAGCAGGGAAUGGUGUUGACCCCUCCUGGUCAGUGUUUCCUGCUGCUCUCUGGCCAGGAAACAAAGAUGAGAGCGUGCUGAGCUGCAGAUGAACUUGAGUGCCUUCUGUGGGCUUGCUCUGGUGGGGCUAGAAGGGGUGGGCAGUUGGGACAGUGUUCAUGGGCCCUGGGAGGGGCAGGGCAUGGAAACCCACAGAAGCAGAAAUCUGGAGAGCAACGUGGGCCAAGGAAUGACUUGGGGUCAGUGGGCCAGUCUGUGGUGCUAAUGGGGAGAAGCAGUGACGCAUGAGGCUUUGCUCCCCACCAGCUUCUCCCACCUCAACCCCCAUCUCGCCUCUAGUUAGCAGAUGCUCCCCGGGAGGGGUGAGGGCUGCGGCAGCUGUGGGGGUAGGAGGAGGCUCCGCCUGCAGGGGCUCUAGCAGGGCCGUGGGUUGGGAUCUGAGGGCAGGUCCAGGAGUUUGCUGGUGACCUUUCAGCCAGGGCCGCUCUGGAGGACCUGGCCCUGCAUGGUGUGUGGGUGUCGGGACUCUGCGCACCCUGAGUGGGCGUGGGGGGGUCCCUGGCUGGGAGAGGGGUACACGCUCUAGCCGAGAUGGGGGGCUCGGAGACGGGAGGGGCCGGUGUGGCCCGGGUGGAGGUGGGGAAGCUGAUCCAGAGCCAUCCGGGGAGGGAUUCUGUGUGAUAGUGUCUCCUGGGGUAGCAGGCCCAUCCGGAGGCAGUGGGCACUCACCAGGUGCCUGGUUCCUGGAGACAGAGCCCAGGGAGGGUGUGGGGUCCCGGGAAACCUGGAGAACCCGAGGGACACAGCUGGAGCCACAGGGUGCCUUCUCCCUUUCCAUCUUUUUUCUCUGGCCCUGAGCACGCUGCUGGGCUGCCCUCCCAGAGCCUGGGGGUGGGGGUGUCACAGUUGACCUUUUCCUGUCCUGCAGAGGACAUGGGGCCCCCGCGGGCCUCCCUGGGCUGGCGGGACUGUGGCCCUGAAACAUCUGUACUUGGCAAGGAAGUGGCCAGCAGUGGUGCUGGUGUGCCUGUGACAUGCUCACCUGUCACUCCUGUUGUCCCACGCUGGCGCCCCUCCUCUCCACACCUCUGCAGGUGCGCCCGCCUGCCACACACACCUGCGCUGUCCACGGGGUAUGCAACUGCCUCACAGACCACCUCCCGGGCCUGAAGCUGCUAGCACACAUCUGUCCAGGCACUGUGUGACGCAGCCGGCUCACUUCCCUGGGACAGUGCCUGGGCCAUCCGUGUCCCUGUCCUCGGUCAGCCUUGCGGACCCUGAGGGUGGGGCUCGAGUCCAGGAGGGGCAUUUCACCAGGCCCAGUGUUUACUCAGCCUCCUUCAAUCCCAGAUUGUUUGGGAAACACGCUCUUCCCCCUGAGCCAGCCGCGCUGGGAGGAUUGCCAAAAGCCUCUUCCGCUGGGCCCUCUGCCUGGGGUCGAUUUCAGCCACCCUCCGCUGUCCUUGCAGCCAGAUGGGGGCUUUGAGUCUCGGCCUUCCCGGCUCGGCUCAGCUCUCUCCUGCCAUGCCCACCAUGUGGUUGACUGUGACCCUGCAGAGGGGGCCUUCCUCCGAUGUGGGGAACAGGUCUCAUGGGGAGUGGAGGGAGGCCCACUGGCCGAGAGGAGUGCCCGCAGGGUGCAGAGAAGGCUCUGUCUGCGAGGAGACAGACUGACCAGGCCGGUACCACGUGGACUGGGAGGCAGAGAGGGGGCCCACCCUGUCAUGUAUGGGGGUCAGGAGCCACUCAUGUGGGUGAGGAGCCCCAUGGUCCUAGGGGAAGACCACAGGAGCCCUGGGUGGGAGUGGUGGGGUCUCCCUGCUAGGAGUCAGGGGGGAAAGUUUGCAUUUAGCUGUGAGGUGGGCCCACCCUCCCUCCUUCUUUUCGCUCUUCUUAUUUAUUUAUUUACUUUUAAAGAUUUUAUUUUAAAGUAAUCUACACCCAACGUGCGGCUUGAACUCACGACCCCGAGAGAUCAAGAGUUGUAUGCUCUCCUGACUGAGCCAGCCAGGCAUCCCUCUCUCGUCUUUAAAAAAAAAAAAAAAAAGUGGGCGCCUGGG